GAAGUGAGCAUGUUAUAUGUAAUAUCAGUAAACACAAGACUGAUGCAGAUAACGAAAAAGAUGCUGAACAUAAACGGAUUUCUGCCCCCCACGAGCUUGCUAUGGAGGGCACAAGGAACCAGGGAUGUCAAAACACAAGUCCUGUGGAUGUGCAUACAGACACAUUGAGGCUUGGAGGGAGGGGGGCGGGUGCAGUCUGCUACU